AUUUUGACUGUGCAAAGGUAGCAUAAUCAUUAGUCUUUUAAUUGGGGACUGGUAUGAAUGGUUUAACGAAGUAUUAACUGUCUCAUUUUAAUAAAUUGAAUUUAACUUUUGAGUCAAAAGGCUUAAAUGAAGUUAAAGGACGAGAAGACCCUAUAGAGCUUUAUAAAUUGAAUAUUAAAUUGGAUUUAGAGGUUUUGUUUAAUUUGAAUAGAAAAUUUAUUUUAUUGGGGUGAUAUGAAGAUUCAAUAAACUCUUUAUAAUAAUUAAACACUAAUGAGUGAAUAAUUGAUCCAUUUUUAGUGAUUAUAAGAUUAAGUUACCUUAGGGAUAACAGCGUAAUAUUUUUUGAGAGUUCUUAUCAACAAAAAAGAUUGCGACCUCGAUGUUGGAUUAAGGAAAAAGUUGGG
rnacentral:rRNA from 1 species